ACACUGAGGCGUGACGACGAGGCACUACGGUGCUGAAGCAACAAAUGCCCUGCUUCCAGGAAAAGCCUCUAAGCAUCAGGUAACAUCAAAUCGUACCCCAAACCGACACAGGUGGUCAGGUAGAGAAUACCAAGGCGCUUGAGAGAACUCGGGUGAAGGAACUAGGCAAAAUGGUGCCGUAACUUCGGGAGAAGGCACGCUGACACGUAGGUGAAGUGAUUUACUCAUGGAGCUGAAGUCAGUCGAAGAUACCAGCUGGCUGCAACUGUUUAUUAAAAACACAGCACUGUGCAAACACGAAAGUGGACGUAUACGGUGUGACGCCUGCCCGGUGCCGGAAGGUUAAUUGAUGGGGUCAGCGCAAGCGAAGCUCCUGAUCGAAGCCCCGGUAAACGGCGGCCGUAACUAUAACGGUCCUAAGGUAGCGAAAUUCCUUGUCGGGUAAGUUCCGACCUGCACGAAUGGCGUAAUGAUGGCCAGGCUGUCUCCACCCGAGACUCAGUGAAAUUGAACUCGCUGUGAAGAUGCAGUGUACCCGCGGCAAGACGGAAAGACCCCGUGAACCUUUACUAUAGCUUGACACUGAACAUUGAGCCUUGAUGUGUAGGAUAGGUGGGAGGCUUUGAAGUGUGGACGCCAGUCUGCAUGGAGCCGACCUUGAAAUACCACCCUUUAAUGUUUGAUGUUCUAACGUGGACCCGUUACCCGGGUUGCGGACAGUGUCUGGUGGGUAGUUUGACUGGGGCGGUCUCCUCCUAAAGAGUAACGGAGGAGCACGAAGGUUGGCUAAUCCUGGUCGGACAUCAGGAGGUUAGUGCAAUGGCAUAAGCCAGCUUGACUGCGAGCGUGACGGCGCGAGCAGGUGCGAAAGCAGGUCAUAGUGAUCCGGUGGUUCUGAAUGGAAGGGCCAUCGCUCAACGGAUAAAAGGUACUCCGGGGAUAACAGGCUGAUACCGCCCAAGAGUUCAUAUCGACGGCGGUGUUUGGCACCUCGAUGUCGGCUCAUCACAUCCUGGGGCUGAAGUAGGUCCCAAGGGUAUGGCUGUUCGCCAUUUAAAGUGGUACGCGAGCUGGGUUUAGAACGUCGUGAGACAGUUCGGUCCCUAUCUGCCGUGGGCGCUGGAGAACUGAGGGGGGCUGCUCCUAGUACGAGAGGACCGGAGUGGACGCAUCACUGGUGUUCGGGUUGUCAUGCCAAUGGCACUGCCCGGUAGCUAAAUGCGGAAGAGAUAAGUGCUGAAAGCAUCUAAGCACGAAACUUGCCCCGAGAUGAGUUCUCCCUGAGACUUAGAGUCUCCUGAAGGAACGUUGAAGACGACGACGUUGAUAGGCCGGGUGUGUAAGCGCAGCGAUGCGUUGAGCUAACCGGUACUAAUGAACCGUGAGGCUUAACCUUACAACGCCGAAG
rnacentral:rRNA from 3 species